CGCACCGUGGAUGCGAACAUACAAACGUUCUUUGUCGCCAAUUUUAAACACGCAUCUCUAUUCUCUGAUCGAGUAAAACGAGACGUCGGGGAAUCCCGCAAAAAAUUGCGCGUUUUUUCGAAUUGGUGAUCAUCUCAAAAGGAUUGGUCGAACAUUGUAAAUCUGUUACUAGAAAGCAAAAUUAGAUCAGGGAGAAUGUUUCGUGACAUAGUUCGUGACAGUGUCUGACAAAGUCUGAAGUCGCUCGAUUCAUCUUAAAAGAUUCAAUCGGAAAAAUACUCGACAAUAGCGCCAAAAUAUCAGCAGCACAAUGUCGGAGGGUUGCACGAGUUGCAGAGGCGCGAAUUAUACGAGUGGUACUUUGCAGUUAGGCACGACUGCGGGUGGCAAUACUGGAAGUUCAUCGUCUGGGGUGACCUGUACAACCACAAGGAGAGUCCAGAUUCGCGCAAAAGUGUUAUAUGGCACAGGCAAAGCAAUAGCGAGCUUGCAAGCGCAGGAGAAAGCGGCCAGACACUGACGAGGACUAUUUCACACCCACCGAGUCAAAAGAAGGAGACCAAAUUCGAGGAUAAAAAUGGGCUCGAUACAAGAUACCGGAAAACUCAUGGAAAAUCAGGACGAUGCGAUUUUAGUGCCGUUGCAGGAAAAGUUUGAAGUAUCUACCACAUGAUAACGCCUACGGAAUACGCAUGUAUGCACGUUUUAUUUUUAAUACAGAAAUUUCAAUUUGUAUAAAUUGAUUGAAAAAUGAUUUAUUU